rnacentral:rRNA from 1 species
AACGAACGCUGGCGGCAGGCCUAACACAUGCAAGUCGAUCGCUGUCUUCGGACAGAGAGGCGCACGGGUGAGUAACACGUGGGAACAUACCCUUGAGUGCGGAAUAACUAUUGGAAACGAUAGCUAAUACCGCAUACGCCCUACGGGGGAAAGAUUUAUCGCUCAAGGAUUGGCCCGCGUCCGAUUAGCUAGUUGGCGGGGUAACGGCCCACCAAGGCGACGAUCGGUAGCUGGUUUGAGAGAAUGAUCAGCCACACUGGGACUAAGACACGGCCCAGACUCCUACGGGAGGCAGCAGUGGGGAAUAUUGGACAAUGGGCGCAAGCCUGAUCCAGCCAUGCCGCGUGAGUGAAGAAGGCCUUCGGGUUGUAAAGCUCUUUCAGACGUGACGAUGAUGACGGUAGCGUCAGAAGAAGCCCCGGCUAACUUCGUGCCAGCAGCCGCGGUAA